UGCGAUUGUCAUUGAAGUCGAAAGUUGUAAGUUGUUUGUUUUGAUUUGUGCUUAUUUGUGCCUUCCGUCGCGUCUGCGAGCUUCAAAACAUAAUUCUACGACGUCGUUCGCCGUGGAAGACGAUGAGUUUCGAGCUAGUCGUUGAUUACAGUAGUAAUGAUUAUUCACUGGUAGCGUGCGUGGAGUGUGCAAAUGCAUCACACUGGGGCGAGACAAGUCCACCCUCCCUCAGAGUUCACCUGUCUACUGAAGGUAUGGGCGGGGAACGGCCAUCAGAGCUACUGCAAGUGACAGACUUCACCAUGACCAUGAUAUCCUGAUCUGUUUCCAUUAGUACUUUUAAGCCACAUUUGGACUGGGCGUACGUUAUUAGCGCCUGAAAGAAACGAGUUAUCAUGAGCUGUAUCGAGGAGACGCGAGGAGGCCUGUCUCAGAAAGGGCGAGUAAAGACACGCAUCUGGUUCACAGUUUCAAGGAUAAGGAAAGAGCUUCGAACGGGAAGAGGAGAAUCAGAUGACCGAAUAAGAAAGUUGUGAAGCAAAGUCCAAUGUUCAAUGUAACACCAACAGCAGCUUCAAUCGGAAUCUAUGGUAGUGGGACUGGAUUGUGGAGAAUUGUACAGGUGGCUGAGAUUGAUCUGUAUUCAUUCUAAGAGUGUUUCUAACUGUUGGCCGCCCAUCAUCAUCCUGUGGUUUAUCUGCUAGAAUAUCCAGAUUGCAUCAAUCCUGUAACCAUCCUGGCCAGGAUUUUUGUGUUCUGAGCCAUGAGAUUAUCCAAAAAAAAUGGAGAGUCUGCACUGCAGGGCCUGAAUUAAUUAUCCAUUCCUGAGGCUGUUUGGAAUCUCAGACUCGUUUAACUAACCAAGAAAGUAGUGUGGAUGUUGAUUAAAUUGUCUUUUUGAAAGACUUUGACGUGAGCUAGGGCGACUUGCCCUGUUGGCACCGGUCCCAUCAGGAACGGCCCUUCUUAUGUUUUGUAUUGGACAUUCAAAGAAAUGUGAUUUAGUAGGCGCAAGGCCUUUUGGUUUUGGUCUACUGUGCAGCUCUGAGGAGAUGACCUCUCAGCAUGAUGAGACUGAGACAUCUGCUAGUCAAGAAAAUUAAGCUCUUAUUUACCGGCAUGAAAUGUUUUGAACUGUAUAAUCACUUCCCUUUUCCCCGAUGUAAUGUUUUCUUUUUUCUGAUCCUCAGACCUCUGCAGUCAAUGCUUGUGAGCGGGAUGUGGACAUUGUUAGAUGCAACCGAACUGCGACAGCAGAACCUCCUCAAGAUAUUGACUUUGGAAAACACUGGCAAAAUCUUUCUGAUUGCUGGCAAUCAACCAAAUUAACCAAGUCCCUAGCAUGGAUGUUGAUUAAAGUGCUUUGUUGAAAGACUUUGAUGUGAGCUUGGGCUACGUGGCCUGUUGGCAACGGUACCAUCAGCAGGAGGAAAGGUCUUUUUUAUUAUAGUUUGAAUGCGAGAUUGCAUCGACCCUGUAACUGUUCUCUUGGACAAGACUUUGUGCCAGUGUCCAACUGGUGAAAUGAAUAUAUCCCUGUCUAUCCACAAUGGCUGAUGUUUCCCAAAUUAAUGGUCUUCUGAGGCUGUGUUCGGAAUGUCGGGUUGAGGGGCUAGUGUUCAGAGAGUAUUCUGGAUUCUAUUUUUCUGCACCACAGUGUUCCUUCUGGUACAGACUUAAAUCAGACUACUCCACAAGAUGACUGAUAAAUUUUAGACCAAGCUCCUAAACUGUUGCUUCUUCUAGCCACCAAGAAAAGACACAAGCUCACUUAUGCAGCAGCCUAAGAUGUAGUUGUGUUAGCCGGCAUCUCUGAAGAGUGUCCAUUUUGUGCACGAGCAGGGAGAGAAUGCGCAGUAGAAACUAAGUGUGAUAUUUACGAAAGAUUUGGGGUGAAUGGAAAAGUCUUUCGUGCUCUGAGUUACUCUAGAGAAAGCUUAAAAAAGAACUGUGUUCUCAUUUCGAAUCAUAUCAAGUAUUUGUAAUUGAUAAUAUUUUGGUUCUUUCUUCUUCCUGUUUCAUUGCAGGACACUAUCAUUAUCUAGUUGUAUUUAUGUAUUUUUCUGCUGUACUUGUAUGGAGGGAGACCGGCAGGUUGUCAUUUUCAAUCUUUGAAAUGUGCACUGCUUUGACCUCUGUUGUGAUCCUUGGAAGCACAAUCCUGGCAGUGUUUGUGAUUUUCUUGCAUUGUUCAGUUACAAACUAGUUUCAGUGUAGUCAUCUGGUUUUCCAAUGUUUAUCAGACCUAAAUUUGUGUUUUCAAUGCACAGUUUCCAUCAAUCAUUUCAUUCUCUUACUAUUCCAAAAGGCAGUGUUAUUGGAGUGGAAUGCAGCCUCUGUGAUGAAGGCCAUUUCGUGUAACAUUUUAUCAUUUUCUGUUCGUGUUCAUAGUUUGUUAUGUAGAAAUGACUUGAUGUCAAAUUUCCUUGCAGCCAACAAUUUCUUUAGAAGAGCCUAAGUGUUAUUUAUGCAACAAAAUUUAAAUAGCGAGAUGAAAGAAAUAACUUUAUGAUAGCUUGUUAUCCUUUGUUCAGAUACAGGGUAAUGUUGCUUAUAUUUGACAUAGAGUGUAGGUACUUACAUAUUGUAAUUACAUAUGUUCUUAUUUGAUUAAAAAAUAUACACUUUUGCAACAGUUGACUAGGGAAAACUCAAUUGAUUGAUAAAUAUCUGUUUUAAAAAUAAAGAUAAUAGAUCAUAGGUUUUUACUUCACAGUAUUUGCAAACAUACUGAAGAGUUAACAAUGACCACAAACAAGUAAUUCUUAAAAACCUUAAAGUAUCAUACUGCCUAUUAUCUAUUUGACCUUGCUUAAUUGUACUUUAAAGCGUCCAUGUAUCACAACAUUUACAAAAAUAAAUAUGUUGCAAUCAUUUUAGAA